GAUGAACGCUGGCGGCGUGCCUAAUACAUGCAAGUCGAGCGAACGGACGAGAAGCUUGCUUCGCUGAUGUUAGCGGAGGACGGGUGAGUAACACGUGGAUAACCCACCUAUAAGACGGGGAUAACUUCGGGAAACCGUAGCUAAUACCGGAUAAGAUUUUGAACCGCAGGGGUGAAAAGUGAAAGACGGUCGUGCUGUCACUUAUAGAUGGAUCCGCGCUGCUUUAGCUAGUUGGUAAGGUAACGGCUUACCAAGGCAACGAUGCAUAGCCGACGUCAGAGGCUGGUAGGCCACCCUGGAACUGAGACAGCGUCCAUACUCCUACGGGAGGCACCAGUAGGGAAUCUUCCGCAGUGGUCGGAAGCCUUACGGAGCGACCCCGCGUCAGUUAUGGAGGUCUUCGGUUCGUAAUACUCUGUUAUUAGUGGAGAACAUAUUUGUAAGUUACUGUGCACAUCUUGACGGUACCUAAUCAGAAAGCCCCGGCUAACUACGUG
rnacentral:rRNA from 1 species